rnacentral:ncRNA from 1 species
UACUCUGCGAGGAGGAAUCUGAAGGAAGCCUGCGGUAAAUCUCUGGCCUGAGGAACAGGAAGCAGAUGAGGCAAUGACAUGUGGGUGAGUUUGCAUUCCAAACGAAGCCCUAAACUAUCCGAAAUGUGUUGUUGUAGAUCUGACAGGUAGAUGGAGAGAAAGUUUGCGCU